GAUGAACGCUGGCGGCGUGCCUAAUACAUGCAAGUCGAGCGAACGGACGAGAAGCUUGCUUCUCUGAUGUUAGCGGCGGACGGGUGAGUAACACGUGGAUAACCUACCUAUAAGACUGGGAUAACUUCGGGAAACCGGAGCUAAUACCGGAUAAUAUUUUGAACCGCAUGGUUCAAAAGUGAAAGACGGUCUUGCUGUCACUUAUAGAUGGAUCCGCGCUGCAUUAGCUAGUUGGUAAGGUAACGGCUUACCAAGGCAACGAUGCAUAGCCGACCUGAGAGGGUGAUCGGCCACACGGGAACUGAGACACGGUCCAGACUCCUACGGGAGGCAGCAGUAGGGAAUCUUCCGCAAUGAGCGAAAGCCUGACGGAGCAACGCCGCGUGAGUGAUGAAGGUCUUCGGAUCGUAAAACUCUGUUAUUAGGGAAGAACAUAUGUGUAAGUAACUGUGCACAUCUUGACGGUACCUAAUCAGAAAGCCACGGCUAACUACGUG
rnacentral:rRNA from 1 species